rnacentral:rRNA from 1 species
CCGAAAGGAAUGCUAAUACCGCAUACGCCCUACGGGGGAAAGCAGGGGAUCUUCGGACCUUGCGCUAAUAGAUGAGCCUAAGUCAGAUUAGCUAGUUGGUGGGGUAAAGGCCUACCAAGGCGACGAUCUGUAGCGGGUCUGAGAGGAUGAUCCGCCACACUGGGACUGAGACACGGCCCAGACUCCUACGGGAGGCAGCAGUGGGGAAUAUUGGACAAUGGGCGAAAGCCUGAUCCAGCCAUGCCGCGUGUGUGAAGAAGGCCUUUUGGUUGUAAAGCACUUUAAGCGAGGAGGAGGCUACUUGGAUUAAUACUCUAGGAUAGUGGACGUUACUCGCAGAAUAAGCACCGGCUAACUCUGUGCCAGCAGCCGCGGUAAUACAGAGGGUGCGAGCGUUAAUCGGAUUUACUGGGCGUAAAGCGUGCGUAGGCGGCUUUUUAAGUCGGAUGUGAAAUCCCUGAGCUUAACUUAGGAAUUGCAUUCGAUACUGGGAAGCUAGAGUAUGGGAGAGGAUGGUAGAAUUCCAGGUGUAGCGGUGAAAUGCGUAGAGAUCUGGAGGAAUACCGAUGGCGAAGGCAGCCAUCUGGCCUAAUACUGACGCUGAGGUACGAAAGCAUGGGGAGCAAACAGGAUUAGAUACCCUGGUAGUCCAUGCCGUAAACGAUGUCUACUAGCCGUUGGGGCCUUUGAGGCUUUAGUGGCGCA